GAUACAGCCAAGACACCAGCUGGACACCCCUUUUCUGGGAACAAGGCUCUGUGGGCUGUGUUGUCACAGGCUGGAAGGAGAUAAGGCUCCUCGCUGGGAGAACGAGGAGCAUUCUCUUGGGACAGGAUGUGCAGAUCACUGGGAAAGAAAAGAGUGGAUAAGGUGAGAUUGAUGUGCAGAUCCUGAAGUUUCUCCAACCUUUGCUCAUUUUUCUAAACAGAUCUGAGCCAGGGAGGACAAAAAAAAAAACAAAAAAAAAACCUCAAGGACACUUCAUUUAUGCAUCCAAAACAAGACUUGGGACCUUGAGUUUCUGAC